rnacentral:rRNA from 1 species
AUGCACGCUGGCGGCGUGCCUCAUCCAUGCAAGUCGAGCGCACAGACGAGGAGCUUGCUCCUCUGACGUUAGCGGCGGACGGGUGAGUAACACGUGGAUAACCUACCUAUAAGACUGGGAUAACUUCGGGAAACCGGAGCUAAUACCGGAUAAUAUAUUGAACCGCAUGGUUCAAUAGUGAAAGACGGUUUUGCUGUCACUUAUAGAUGGAUCCGCGCCGCAUUAGCUAGUUGGUAAGGUAACGGCUUACCAAGGCGACGAUGCGUAGCCGACCUGAGAGGGUGAUCGGCCACACUGGAACUGAGACACGGUCCAGACUCCUACGGGAGGCAGCAGUAGGGAAUCUUCCGCAAUGGGCGAAAGCCUGACGGAGCAACGCCGCGUGAGUGAUGAAGGUCUUCGGAUCGUAAAACUCUGUUAUUAGGGAAGAACAAAUGUGUAAGUAACUAUGCACGUCUUGACGGUACCUAAUCAGAAAGCCACGGCUAACUACGUG